rnacentral:lncRNA from 1 species
AAAAUUAUUGUCAACCAAGUUGCAAAAUUACGAACUGGACACUUUUAAAACCUACGUACCUAUCAACAGUAUUAAUAUGGCGGCAUGUGUAAUAUAUAGAUGGAUCGCUUUAUCCAAUUAAAAAUAAAAGUAUGUAUGCAGGCACAGCACAUAUGUAAAGCCAAGUCUUUAUAAAAGAAACACAACAAAGAUCUUUGUCAAGGAAUAGAACGAGUCAUCACUCCUUGUUAACAGUUUAAUGUUUUCUAUUAUGUCAUCGUUUUUGGUAGAGAUGGGAUUUUUGCAAGAGCGCGAGGAGAAGGCUGGAUCAAGACUAAAUUAAGACCUUUGUUAAUAUCAGUUGCCUGUUAUACAAUUUUGGAGGUAGAGGAUGAAUUACUGCGAAAAAAUGAUUAUAUUUAAAUUCAUAUAUAUUUUUUUUUAAAACAAGUUCCGUCACAGAUAAGCGUGAAUGCUACUUCAAAGGGAUAAUUUAUCAACACGACGACCAAUUUUUUUUAUCCUUAACCAAAACAGGCGAACAUAAUUAUUAUUAAUGAACAUAUAAAUAAGAUAUGUAUUAUGUAUAUAAAUAAUAAAAAAACACAUAAAAAACAAAAAAA